AGAGUUUGAUCCUGGCUCAGAGCGAACGCUGGCGGCAGGCCUAAUACAUGCAAGUCGAACGGUCCUUCGGGACAGUGGCGGACGGGUGAGUAACGCGUGGGAACGUGCCCUUUGGUACGGAACAACUGAGGGAAACUUCAGCUAAUACCGUAUGUGCCCUUCGGGGGAAAGAUUUAUCGCCAUUGGAGCGGCCCGCGUUAGAUUAGCUAGUUGGUGGGGUAAAGGCCUACCAAGGCAACGAUCUAUAGCUGGUCUGAGAGGAUGAUCAGCCACACUGGGACUGAGACACGGCCCAGACUCCUACGGGAGGCAGCAGUAGGGAAUCUUGCGCAAUGGGCGAAAGCCUGACGCAGCCAUGCCGCGUGAAUGAUGAAGGUCUUAGGAUUGUAAAAUUCUUUCGGCCGGGAAGAAAUCGCGUGGGUUAAUACCCUGCGUGGAUGACGGUACCGGAAUAAGAAGCACCGGCUAACUACGUGCCAGCAGCCGCGGUAAUACGUAGGGUGCGAGCGUUAAUCGGAAUUACUGGGCGUAAAGCGUGCGCAGGCGGUUUUGUAAGACAGGCGUGAAAUCCCCGGGCUCAACCUGGGAACUGCGCUUGUGACUGCAAGGCUAGAGUACGGCAGAGGGGGGUGGAAUUCCACGUGUAGCAGUGAAAUGCGUAGAGAUGUGGAGGAACACCAAUGGCGAAGGCAGCCCCCUGGGUCGAUACUGACGCUCAUGCACGAAAGCGUGGGUAGCAAACAGGAUUAGAUACCCUGGUAGUCCACGCCCUAAACGAUGGGUACUAGGUGUUGCGGGUCUUCACUGACUCAGUAACGAAGCUAACGCGUGAAGUUGACCGCCUGGGGAGUACGGCCGCAAGGUUAAAACUCAAAGGAAUUGACGGGGACCCGCACAAGCGGUGGAUGAUGUGGUUUAAUUCGAUGCAACGCGAAAAACCUUACCCACCUUUGACAUGUACGGAAGAUCGCAGAGACGCGAUUGUGCUCGAAAGAGAACCGUAACACAGGUGCUGCAUGGCUGUCGUCAGCUCGUGUCGUGAGAUGUUGGGUUAAGUCCCGCAACGAGCGCAACCCUUGCCAUUAGUUGCUACAUUCAGUUGGGCACUCUAAUGGGACUGCCGGUGACAAACCGGAGGAAGGUGGGGAUGACGUCAAGUCCUCAUGGCCCUUAUAGGUGGGGCUACACACGUCAUACAAUGGCUGGUACAAAGGGUUGCCAACCCGCGAGGGGGAGCCAAUCCAUCAAAGCCGGUCGUAGUCCGGAUCGCAGUCUGCAACUCGACUGCGUGAAGUCGGAAUCGCUAGUAAUCGUGGAUCAGCAUGUCACGGUGAAUACGUUCCCGGGUCUUGUACAAACCGCCCGUCACACCAUGGGAGCGGGUCUCGCCAGAAGUAGUUAGCCUAACCGCAAGGAGGGCGAUUACCACGGCGGGGUUCGUGACUGGGGUGAAGUCGUAACAAGGGUAACC
rnacentral:rRNA from 1 species